rnacentral:rRNA from 1 species
UGCAGUCGUACGCUUCUUUUUCCACCGGAGCUUGCUCCACCGGAAAAAGAAGAGUGGCGAACGGGUGAGUAACACGUGGGUAACCUGCCCAUCAGAAGGGGAUAACACUUGGAAACAGGUGCUAAUACCGUAUAACAAUCGAAACCGCAUGGUUUUGAUUUGAAAGGCGCUUUCGGGUGUCGCUGAUGGAUGGACCCGCGGUGCAUUAGCUAGUUGGUGAGGUAACGGCUCACCAAGGCCACGAUGCAUAGCCGACCUGAGAGGGUGAUCGGCCACAUUGGGACUGAGACACGGCCCAAACUCCUACGGGAGGCAGCAGUAGGGAAUCUUCGGCAAUGGACGAAAGUCUGACCGAGCAACGCCGCGUGAGUGAAGAAGGUUUUCGGAUCGUAAAACUCUGUUGUUAGAGAAGAACAAGGAUGAGAGUAACUGUUCAUCCCUUGACGGUAUCUAACCAGAAAGCCACGGCUAACUACGUGCCAGCAGCCGCGGUAAUACGUAGGUGGCAAGCGUUGUCCGGAUUUAUUGGGCGUAAAGCGAGCGCAGGCGGUUUCUUAAGUCUGAUGUGAAAGCCCCCGGCUCAACCGGGGAGGGUCAUUGGAAACUGGGAGACUUGAGUGCAGAAGAGGAGAGUGGAAUUCCAUGUGUAGCGGUGAAAUGCGUAGAUAUAUGGAGGAACACCAGUGGUCGAAGGCGGCUCUCUGGUCUGUAACUGACGCUGACG